rnacentral:rRNA from 1 species
CGCCGCGUGGGGGAUGACGGCCUUCGGGUUGUAAACCCCUUUCAGUAGGGAAGAAGCGAGAGUGACGGUACCUGCAGAAGAAGCGCCGGCUAACUACGUGCCAGCAGCCGCGGUAAUACGUAGGGCGCAAGCGUUGUCCGGAAUUAUUGGGCGUAAAGAGCUUGUAGGUGGCUUGUCGCGUCUGCCGUGAAAACCCGAGGCUCAACCUCGGGCGUGCGGUGGGUACGGGCAGGCUAGAGUGUGGUAGGGGAGACUGGAACUCCUGGUGUAGCGGUGAAAUGCGCAGAUAUCAGGAAGAACACCGAUGGCGAAGGCAGGUCUCUGGGCCAUUACUGACACUGAGAAGCGAAAGCAUGGGUAGCGAACAGGAUUAGAUACCCUGGUAGUCCAUGCCGUAAACGUUGGGCACUAGGUGUGGGGGACAUUCCACGUUUUCCGCGCCGUAGCUAACGCAUUAAGUGCCCCGCCUGGGGAGUACGGCCGCAAGGCUAAAACUCAAAGGAAUUGACGGGGGCCCGCACAAGCGGCGGAGCAUGCUGAUUAAUUCGAUGCAACGCGAAGAACCUUACCAAGGCUUGACAUGCACUGGACGGCUGCAGAGAUGUGGCUUUCUUUGGACUGGUGCACAGGUGGUGCAUGGUUGUCGUCAGCUCGUGUCGUGAGAUGUUGGGUUAAGUCCCGCAACGAGCGCAACCCUCGUUCUAUGUUGCCAGCACGUGAUGGUGGGGACUCAUAGGAGACUGCCGGGGUCAACUCGGAGGAAGGUGGGGACGACGUCAAAUCAUCAUGCCCCUUAUGU